ACUCAAAUGAAUUGACGGGGAGGCGCACAAGCAGUGGAGCGUGUGGUUUAAUUCGAUACAAAGCGAAAGACCUCACCAGGGUUUGACAUGUAUCUGCAAGCGCACGGAAACGUGUGAUCUUCGAGAGUGAUACACAGAUGCUGCAUGGCUGUCGUCAGCUCGUGGCGUGAGCUGUACCGUUAAGUCGGGUAACGAGCGCAACCCCCAUCAUAUGUUAAAUAAUUCAUAUGAAACUGCCUCAUUUUUGAGGAGGAAGGCGGGGAUGACGUCAAGUCCGCACGGCUCUUACACCCUGGGCAACACACACCCUACAAUGGCGAAUAACAACGAGUUGCAAGCUGGUAACAGCAAGCUAAUCUCUAAAAUUUCGCCUCAGUUCAGAUCGAGGUCUGCAACCCGACCUCGUGAAGGAGGAAUUGCUAGUAAUCGCGAAUCAGCAGGUCGCGGUGAAUACGUUCUCGCCUCUUGUACACACCGCCCGU
rnacentral:rRNA from 1 species